rnacentral:rRNA from 1 species
UACGUAGGCAGCAAGCGUUGUUCGGAGUUACUGGGCGUAAAGAGUAUGUAGGCGGUUGCUUAAGUUUGGUGUGAAAUCUCCCGGCUUAACUGGGAGGGUGCGCCGAAAACUGAGCGGCUGGAGUGCCGGAGAGGAACGCGGAAUUCCCGGUGUAGUGGUGAAAUGCGUAGAUAUCGGGAGGAACACCAGUGGCGAAGGCGGCUUCCUGGCCUGUUCUUGACGCUGAGGCGCGAAAGCUAGGGGAGCAAACGGG